rnacentral:rRNA from 1 species
AACGAACGCUGGCGGCAUGCCUAACACAUGCAAGUCGAUCGAGACCUUCGGGUCUAGUGGCGCACGGGUGCGUAACGCGUGGGAACCUGCCCUUAGGUUCGGAAUAACUCCCCGAAAGGGGUGCUAAUACCGGAUAAUGUCUUCGGACCAAAGAUUUAUCGCCUUUGGAUGGGCCCGCGUUGGAUUAGCUAGUUGGUAGGGUAAAAGCCUACCAAGGCGACGAUCCAUAGCUGGUCUGAGAGGAUGAUCAGCCACACUGGGACUGAGACACGGCCCAGACUCCUACGGGAGGCAGCAGUGGGGAAUAUUGGACAAUGGGCGAACGCCUGAUCCAGCAAUGCCGCGUGAGUGAUGAAGGCCUUAGGGUUGUAAAGCUCUUUUACCCGGGAUGAUAAUGACAGUACCGGGAGAAUAAGCUCCGGCUAACUCCGUG